CGGGCGAUUAGCUCAGUUGGUAGAGCAGCUGACUCUUAAUCAGCGGGUCACAGGUUCGAGCCCUGUGCGGCCCAG
rnacentral:tRNA from 1 species